UACAGAGGUCCCAAGCGUUGUUCGGAAUUACUGGGCGUAAAGGGCGCGUAGGCGGUCUGAUAAGUUUGGUGUGAAAGCCCUGGGCUUAACCUAGGAAUAGCAUUGGAUACUGUCAGACUAGAGACCGAGAGAGGGAAAUGGAAUUGCGAGUGUAGAGGUGAAAUUCGUAGAUAUUCGCAAGAACACCAGUGGCGAAGGCGAUUUCCUGGCUCGGAACUGACGCUAAGGCGCGAAAGCGUGGGGAGCAAACAGG
rnacentral:rRNA from 1 species